rnacentral:misc_RNA from 1 species
GAAAUGCGAUAAGUAAUGUGAAUUGCAGAAUUCAGUGACUCAUCGAAUCUUUGAACGCACCUUGCGCUCCUUGGUAUUCCUUGGAGCAUGCCUGUUUGAGUAUCAUGAAAUCUUCAAAGUAAAUCUUUUGUUAACUCAAUUGGUUUCUACUUUGGUAUUGGAGGUCUUUGCAGCUUCACACCUGCUCCUCUUUGUUCAUUAGCUGGAUCUCAGUGUUAUGCUUGGUUCCACUCGGCGUGAUAAGUUAUCUAUCGCUGAGGACACUGUAAAAGGUGGCCAAGGUAAAUUCAGAUGAACCGCUUCUAAUAGUCCAUUGACUUGGACAAUACUUUUAUGAUCUGAUCUCAAAUCAGGUAGGACUACCCGCUGAACUUAAGC